rnacentral:rRNA from 1 species
AUACGGAGGGGACUAGCGUUGUUCGGAAUUACUGGCGUAAAGAGUUCGUAGGCGGACUGACAAGUAAGAGGUGAAAUCCCAGGGCUCAACCCUGGAACUGCCUUUUAAACUGUUAGUCUAGAGACCGGAAGAGGUUAGGGGAAUACCUAGUGUAGAGGUGAAAUUCGUAGAUAUUAGGUGGAACACCAGUGGCGAAGGCGCCUAACUGGUCCGGUACUGACGCUGAGGAACGAAAGCGUGGGGAGCAAACAGGAUUAGAUACCCUAGUAGUCC